rnacentral:rRNA from 1 species
GGUGAACGCUGGCGGUCUGCUUAACACAUGCAAGUCGAACGGAAUCCUUAGGGAUUUAGUGGCGGACGGGUGAGUAACACGUAAGAACCUGCCUCUAAGACGGGGACAACAGUUGGAAACGACUGCUAAACCCGGAUGAGCCGAAAGGUAAAAGAUUUAUCGCCUAGAGAGGGGCUUGCGUCUGAUUAGCUAGUUGGUAAGGUAAAGGCUUACCAAGGCGACGAUCAGUAGCUGGUCUGAGAGGAUGAUCAGCCACACUGGGACUGAGACACGGCCCAGACUCCUACGGGAGGCAGCAGUGGGGAAUUUUCCGCAAUGGGCGAAAGCCUGACGGAGCAAGACCGCGUGGGGGAGGAAGGUUCUUGGAUUGUCAACCCCUUUUCUCAGGGAAGAACGCAAUGACGGUACCUGAGGAAAAAGCAUCGGCUAACUCCGUGCCAGCAGCCGCCGUAAAAC